UGCAAAUCAAUAUAAGCUGAUUUAUAUAGAAUUUAUUUAUUAAUUUAUGUUUAUUUUAAUUAUAAUUUAUUAAAAAUAAUUAUAUAAUUUAAUGUUUUAGUAAUUUUUAAUGAAAAAAUAAUAUUUAUUAUAGUUUAAUAGUACUGUUAAGUAAUAUUGAAAUAUUUUGAAAAAUUUUUAAAAUAAAAGAAAAUUUUAUUUAUUGUACCUUGUGUAUCAGGGUUUAUUAAAUAAUUAAUAAAUAUUUAUUAAUCUCGAUUUUAUAAGAGUUAAUGAUUUAUGAAAGUUAAUGUAUUAAAAUUAUUUUAAAUAAAUCAUUAGAAAUGAAAUGUUAUUCGUUUAUAAAGGUAUCUAGUUUUUCCAGAAAUAAAUUAAAUUUACUAAUUUUUAAUUUUUUAAUUAAUUUUUAAAUUAAAAAAAUUAUUAAUUUGAAUAUUUUAAGGGAUAAGCUUUAAAAUAAAUUAUUAAAAAUAAAUAAUAUUGAUUUAAAAUGUAUGCUUAUAAUUAGCAAUCAUUUUUAAUUUUGUUAUAAAUUAUUUUAUAAAUUAUAUUAUUUUUUAAAUUUUAAUUUUAUAUGGAAUAAUUUUUAUUAAUAUUAUUAUAGAAAAUUAUAAUGAUAAAAUUAGUAUAUACUUAUUGUAAUAAUUUUAUAUAUGACAAGUUUAUAUAAAGAAUUCGGCAAAUUUUAUACCCGCCUGUUUAACAAAAACAUGUCUUUUUGAGUUAUUUUAAAAGUCUAACCUGCCCACUGAUAUAAAUAAUUAAAUGGCCGCAGUAUUCUAACUGUGCAAAGGUAGCAUAAUCAUUAGUCUUUUAAUUGAAGGCUGGAAUGAAUGGUUGGACGAGGUAUUAGCUGUUUCAUAUAANAUUAUAAUAGAAUUUUAUAUUUUAGUUAAAAAGCUAAAAUAUUAUUAAAAGACGAGAAGACCCUAUAAAUCUUUAUAUUUUAAAUUAAUUAAAUUUUAUAGAUUUGUUUUAUUUUUAUAUUUUAAAAUAUUUUGUUGGGGUGAUAUUAAAAUUUAAAUAACUUUUAAUCUAUUUAAAUCAUUAAUUUAUGAAUUAUUGAUCCUUUAUUAGUGAUUAUAAGAUUAAGUUACUUUAGGGAUAACAGCGUAAUUUUUUUAGAGAGUUCAUAUCGAUAAAAAAGUUUGCGACCUCGAUGUUGGAUUAAGAAAAGUUUUAGGUGUAGCUGUUUAAAAAUUAAGUCUGUUCGACUUUUAAA
rnacentral:rRNA from 1 species